AUUGAACGCUGGCGGCAGGCCUAACACAUGCAAGUCGAACGAGUGGCGGACGGGUGAGUAAUGUCUGGGAAACUGCCUGAUGGAGGGGGAUAACUACUGGAAACGGUAGCUAAUACCGCAUACCAUCAGAUGUGCCCAUAUGGGAUUAGCUAGUUGGGGGGGUAACGGCUCACAAAGGCGACGAUCCCUAGCUGGUCUGAGAGGAUGACCAGCCAAACUGGAACUGAGACAGGGUCCAACCGCCUACGGGAGGCAGCAGGGGGGAUUAUUGCAAAAGGGGCGAAAGCCUGAUGCAGCCAUGCCGGGUGUAUGAAGAAGGCCUUCGGGUUGUAAAGUACUUUCAGCGGGGAGGCGUUACCCGCAGAAGAAGCACCGGCUAACUCCGUGCCAGCAGCCGCGGUAAUAC
rnacentral:rRNA from 1 species